CACACACAGCAGUGUGUGUGUGUGUGUGUAUGUGUAUAUAUAUAUAUAUAUAUAUAUAUAUAUAUAUAUAUAUAUAUAUAUACACACACAUACAUAUAUAUAUAUAUACAUACACACACGCAGCGUGUAUU